rnacentral:rRNA from 1 species
AUUGAACGCUGGCGGCAUGCCUUACACAUGCAAGUCGAACGGUAACGCGGGGGCAACCCUGGCGACGAGUGGCGAACGGGUGAGUAAUACAUCGGAACGUACCCAGUAGUGGGGGAUAGCUCGGCGAAAGCCGGAUUAAUACCGCAUACGACCUAUGGGUGAAAGCGGGGGAUCGCAAGACCUCGCGCUAUUGGAGCGGCCGAUGUCGGAUUAGCUAGUUGGUGAGGUAAAGGCUCACCAAGGCUACGAUCCGUAGCUGGUCUGAGAGGGCGACCAGCCACACUGGGACUGAGACACGGCCCAGACUCCUACGGGAGGCAGCAGUGGGGAAUUUUGGACAAUGGGCGCAAGCCUGAUCCAGCCAUGCCGCGUGUGUGAAGAAGGCCUGG